UCUGGAGACAGGUGGCUGCAUGGCUGUCGUCAGCUCGUGUCGUGAGAUGUUGGGUUAAGUCCCGCAACGAGCGCAACCCUUGCCUUUAGUUGCCAGCAGUUCGGCUGGGCACUCUAAAGGGACUGCCGGUGUUAAACCGGAGGAAGGUGGGGAGUGACGUCAAGUCCUCAUGGCCUUUAUGACCAGGGCUACACACGUACUACAAUGGCCGAUACAAAGGGCAGCGACACUGCGAGGUGAAGCCAAUCCCGUAAAAUCGGUCUCAGUCCGGAUUGGAGUCUGCAACUCGACUCCAUGAAGUUGGAAUCGCUAGUAAUCGUGGAUCAGCAUGCCACGGUGAAUACGUUCCCGGGCCUU
rnacentral:rRNA from 1 species